ensembl:lincRNA
GUGAUGCUGACGUAGCCAGCCCAGGGACCCUGCUUUUGAGAAACACUGAUGUAGAAGGACCUUCACAGUGCUUACACUCAGCGAGGAGGGUUUGUUGUUACGGGAGUGGCAUCGGUGCUCCCAGUGUUCGCCUGGCAGCUGGCUCUGUGGCUCUGCAGACCCUGUGUGUGGUCAGAACCCACCUGGACCAUGUCUCUCCCAGAGGCAGACCAUCCUACAGAUCCCACGGGCUGCCCCACCCCGCUGAAGACACAGCGACCUGCUUGUCAUUCUCCUUUGGGAAAGGACAAAGAUACAUCAGAGGAAGAGCGGCUGUCCGGGGUGGAGCCUGAGCAACCUCAGUGUGGUCCAGAGAACAGCAACCCAGACAGUGUCUCCUGGAAGCAUCUAGAAACCGGUUCUCUUGGCCCCAUGCAGAAGGUGAAGUCAUCUGGCCCAGAGGCGCAGCCCCAAGGCCGUGAGACCUCUCCUCAGGGCCCAUUAAGCCUGUCCAAGAAGCACUGUGAGAACCAGGGGACCCUUCUGCAGUUUGACCGGCAGGCCCCUGGACGCAUUUCCACCUCUCCUACCUUGAGGAGGUUAAGGGGCAGUGGCAGGGGGACUUCUUUCUCACUGUCUCAGCAAGAUGCCUUGCAAGUGCCCAUUUGGGGAAGCUGGAGAGCCCUUGCAGGCUCCCCAGGUCACCAAUCCAAGAGCCCACUUGGAAGCCCAAAGGAUUCGCCACACUCCCUGUAUCCCUCAAGUCCCCACUCAGGACCACCUGCGGACCCUAGCAGGGCCCUCAGCACAGCUGACUCCAUGGAGUCCCAAACCGGGUCUCCUGAUGAGGACCCCCUUCCAGUGCCACAGCCCAUCAGCCAACCGUCCCUUCACCAGCCCUCUCUUCCAGCACAAGAAGACUGUGGACCUCCCAGCCCCAGCCCACGGCACCCAAAUCCUCAGGCAGAAGAAUCACAUCGCUCCAGGUUCUAUGAGCACAGGCGGAGUUCCGUGGUGUUGAACUUACCUGGACUUGAAGUGUUCCCCGGGGACCUCCUGGUGUCUGACGGAGCUGCCGAUUAUCUGUGCCACCCACUUCUGCUGCUGAAUUCAGAAUCCAAAAAACCAAGAUGGCCUUUCUCCAAGAGAGGAGCGGUAAGUGCUGUACAUUGUAAUUUUUGUUUAUAAUUCAGCCGCUGGUAGCUAAGGAAGUAAGAAAUGGCUGAAAAGCCUCUUCCCCCUGCUUCUUAUCUGCAUAAAGGCGGGUGGCACAGAGUCUAAGUGACUUUGUCACAGCCGCAGCACUCACUGCAGGAAGUGUCAAAUGGUGCUACUGGUCCAGUGAAACAGCGUUAAUCACCGGUGGUUAACAAGUUCUACAAAACAAGCAAAGCAAUUCCAACUUGGUGUGGCUUUACAGCACUACAUUUACACUUAGUGCAACUCAUUAAGCAGCUCACUCGGUGAGGGGAAUUUGAACAAGUGUGUGCCCCAAGUUGCAGGCAGUACCUUGUAUAUUGGGAACAUUGAAAAAUUAAUGAGAUGUCACAUGAACCAGAUUCUACAAAUACACGACCACUUCUGGGAAAGUCAGUUGGAUACAUUCUAGUAGGUUUUGUAUUUGUUUUUUUUUGUUUUUUUUUUUAAUUCAUUCUCGACUCCAGCAAUUAUUGAAGAGUAAUAAAUCUAAGUCAGUGCUCCCUGGGAGUCUUCACUACCUAGGACAUGUGUGGUCUAGGCUGUGCCUCUCCUGCUGGCUCAUUGACGGUAGAGGGAGGGGGUGUUCAUGAUCUUAGGCUCUGUCCUCCGGGUCCCUGGAGGAAGCAGAGCUGAUGUGUGUGCUCCUGACAGUUCCAACACGGAUACACUGCAGCCAGUGGGGGGCAGCAGCGCCCUGGGGAAGCUACUGUACUUUGGUUGGUUCAAACCAUGCGCUGCCCUCAGGGUCUCUCCCAUCAGAGACAGUCACUGACAUCUGCGAUGUCUCUAUGGACACAGAUACCUUGGAAACUUGAAGUCCAGUAGCUGAAUUAAAAGUCCUCUAAGGUUCCAAUCCUAGCUGCUGCUCUCACUGCUUCAUGACCUUGGCCACAUGAAUUAACUCCCUCAGCUUCGGAGCUCUUCCGGUAGAAGGCAGGAAGUCCUAAUGGCAGCCCCACAGGAAGUUGUGAUGACCAUGUGUUACACAUGAAGUUUUCCCCAGACCUUGUAAACUU